rnacentral:rRNA from 1 species
GAUGAACGCUGGCGGCGUGCCUAAUACAUGCAAGUCGAGCGAAUGGAUUAAGAGCUUGCUCUUAUGAAGUUAGCGGCGGACGGGUGAGUAACACGUGGGUAACCUGCCCAUAAGACUGGGAUAACUCCGGGAAACCGGGGCUAAUACCGGAUAACAUUUUGAACCGCAUGGUUCGAAAUUGAAAGGCGGCUUCGGCUGUCACUUAUGGAUGGACCCGCGUCGCAUUAGCUAGUUGGUGAGGUAACGGCUCACCAAGGCAACGAUGCAUAGCCGACUGGAGAGGGUGAUCGGCCACGCUGGGAUAGAGACACGGCCGAGACUCCUACGGGAGGCAGCAGUAGGGAAUCAUCCGCAAUGGACGAAAGUCUGACGGAGCAACGCCGCGAGAGUGGUGAAGGCUUUCGGGUCGUAAGACUCUGUUGUUAGGGAAGAACAAGUGCUAGUUGAAUAAGCUGGCACCUUGACGGUACCUAACCAGAAAGCCACGGCUAACUACGUGCCAGCCGCCGCGGUAA